ensembl:lncRNA
UGAUUGGACGGCCUCCUAUUCAGCCACAUUUUAGGCUGUUAGAUUGUUCCAGAUAAGACAAGUACAAGAUUCUUCAGAGCCGUUCUACCACGAGCCUGACAGGAAGAACUCCAACAGUUACUGAAUGUUCCUGUGGUCCCCUCAAGGCUACAGGAGGAGUCCUACAAGGACGAGGCGGUCCACCUGUUGGCAGCCAGUUGCUGCGGUUGAAAGCCAACACUGACUACGUGGACUUCUACUGGACCACACGGAGGCCUUCAAACUGGACCAAAAAGUUCACCGACUCCCCGACUCGUGGGUCUGAGGACAGUGGUAUAUUCUUCCGAACCAACUUCUCAGGUCUACAUUUCAGGUGGAAUAUUCCUCCAUACUAACUUUUUUUGGUCUACAUUGAAGGAUUUUUUUCUAAACCACCCUUUCGGGUCUAUAUUUGGGGUUUUAGGUGGAAUAUUCCUUUUAACCAGCCCCUCAGGUCUCUUUGAGGAUUUUGGAUGGAAUACUCGGUUAAACCAACAUUUUAGGUGCAUGUCCAAGAAUUUUUGGUGGAAUGUUCCUUUAAGGUGGAUGUGUGAGGACCUUGUAGGUGGAAUACUUCCUGAAGCCAACCUUUUAGGUCAACAUUCAAAGAUUUAAGGUGGAAUAUUCCUUUAAAUCGACCUAAAUGUCAUGUUUUGAUCAUUAUCAAGUGAGAAACCUCAAUCCAGACUCCUCAUAAUGACGUUUGAGAUUUAUGCUGCUGUUAUUUGUUUAGUCCAGACUAAAUGACAGAAAUCCACAACGGUAAUUUUAUUUCAGGACUCUGUUAUUAAAUGUCAAAGCAAUCCAUGUGACUGUAAAAACUCA